rnacentral:rRNA from 1 species
GGGUUGUGAGGUUAAGCGAACAAGCGUACACGGUGGAUGCCCUGGCAGUCAGAGGCGAUGAAGGACGUGCUAAUCUGCGAAAAGCGCCGGUAAGGUGAUAUGAACCGUUAUAACCGGCGAUGUCCGAAUGGGGAAACCCGGUGCACUUCGGUGCAUCAUCGUUAGCUGAAUACAUAGGCUAACGAAGCGAACCGGGGGAACUGAAACAUCUAAGUACCCCGAGGAAAAGAAAUCAACCGAGAUUCCCCCAGUAGCGGCGAGCGAACGGGGAACAGCCCAGAGCCUGAAUCAGCUUGUGUGUCAGUGGAACGGUCUGGAAAGGCCGGCGAUACAGGGUGACAGCCCCGUACACGAAGGCACACAGGCUGUGAGCUCGAUGAGUAGGGCGGGACACGUGAUAUCCUGUCUGAAGAUGGGGGGACCAUCCUCCAAGGCUAAAUACUCCUGACUGACCGAUAGUGAACCAGUACCGUGAGGGAAAGGCGAAAAGAACCCCGGCGAGGGGAGUGAAACAGAACCUGAAACCGUGUACGUACAAGCAGUGGGAGCCUUCGUAAGAGGGUGACUGCGUACCUUUUGUAUAAUGGGUCAGCGACUUAUAUUCUGUAGCAAGGUUAACCGUAUAGGGGAGCCGAAGGGAAACCGAGUCUUAAUUGGGCGUUAAGUUGCAGGGUAUAGACCCGAAACCCGGUGAUCUAGCCAUGGGCAGGUUGAAGGUUGGGUAACACUAACUGGAGGACCGAACCGACUAAUGUUGAAAAAUUAGCGGAUGACCUGUGGCUGGGGGUGAAAGGCCAAUCAAACCGGGAGAUAGCUGGUUCUCCCCGAAAGCUAUUUAGGUAGCGCCUCGUGAACUCAUCUCCGGGGGUAGAGCACUGUUUCGGCUAGGGGGCCAUCCCGGCUUACCAACCCGAUGCAAACUGCGAAUACCGGAGAAUGUUAUCACGGGAGACACACGGCGGGUGCUAACGUCCGUCGUGAAGAGGGAAACAACCCAGACCGCCAGCUAAGGUCCCAAAGUCAUGGUUAAGUGGGAAACGAUGUGGGAAGGCCCAGACAGCCAGGAUGUUGGCUUAGAAGCAGCCAUCAUUUAAAGAAAGCGUAAUAGCUCACUGGUCGAGUCGGCCUGCGCGGAAGAUGUAACGGGGCUAAACCAUGCACCGAAGCUGCGGCAGCGACACGUAUGUGUUGUUGGGUAGGGGAGCGUUCUGUAAGCCUGCGAAGGUGUGCUGUGAGGCAUGCUGGAGGUAUCAGAAGUGCGAAUGCUGACAUAAGUAACGAUAAAGCGGGUGAAAAGCCCGCUCGCCGGAAGACCAAGGGUUCCUGUCCAACGUUAAUCGGGGCAGGGUGAGUCGACCCCUAAGGCGAGGCCGAAAGGCGUAGUCGAUGGGAAACAGGUUAAUAUUCCUGUACUUGGUGUUACUGCGAAGGGGGGACGGAGAAGGCUAUGUCGGCCGGGCGACGGUUGUCCCGGUUUAAGCGUGUAGGCUGACUUUCCAGGCAAAUCCGGAAGGUUAAGGCUGAGGCGUGAUGACGAGGCACCACGGUGCUGAAGUGACAAAUGCCCUGCUUCCAGGAAAAGCCUCUAAGCAUCAGGUAACAUCAAAUCGUACCCCAAACCGACACAGGUGGUCAGGUAGAGAAUACCAAGGCGCUUGAGAGAACUCGGGUGAAGGAACUAGGCAAAAUGGUGCCGUAACUUCGGGAGAAGGCACGCUGACAUGUAGGUGAAGCCCCUGCGGGUGGAGCUGAAGUCAGUCGAAGAUACCAGCUGGCUGCAACUGUUUAUUAAAAACACAGCACUGUGCAAACACGAAAGUGGACGUAUACGGUGUGACGCCUGCCCGGUGCCGGAAGGUUAAUUGAUGGGGUUAUCGCAAGAGAAGCUCCUGAUCGAAGCCCCGGUAAACGGCGGCCGUAACUAUAACGGUCCUAAGGUAGCGAAAUUCCUUGUCGGGUAAGUUCCGACCUGCACGAAUGGCGUAAUGAUGGCCAGGCUGUCUCCACCCGAGACUCAGUGAAAUUGAACUCGCUGUGAAGAUGCAGUGUACCCGCGGCAAGACGGAAAGACCCCGUGAACCUUUACUACAGCUUGACACUGAACAUUGAGCCUUGAUGUGUAGGAUAGGUGGGAGGCUUUGAAGCGUGGACGCCAGUCUGCGUGGAGCCGACCUUGAAAUACCACCCUUUAAUGUUUGAUGUUCUAACCUGGCGCCGUGAUCCGGCGUGGGGACAGUGUCUGGUGGGUAGUUUGACUGGGGCGGUCUCCUCCCAAAGUGUAACGGAGGAGCACGAAGGUCAGCUAAUCCUGGUCGGACAUCAGGAGGUUAGUGCAAUGGCAUAAGCUGGCUUGACUGCGAGAGUGACGGCUCGAGCAGGUGCGAAAGCAGGUCAUAGUGAUCCGGUGGUUCUGUAUGGAAGGGCCAUCGCUCAACGGAUAAAAGGUACUCCGGGGAUAACAGGCUGAUACCGCCCAAGAGUUCAUAUCGACGGCGGUGUUUGGCACCUCGAUGUCGGCUCAUCACAUCCUGGGGCUGAAGUAGGUCCCAAGGGUAUGGCUGUUCGCCAUUUAAAGUGGUACGCGAGCUGGGUUUAGAACGUCGUGAGACAGUUCGGUCCCUAUCUGCCGUGGGCGCUGGAGAAUUGAGGGGGGCUGCUCCCAGUACGAGAGGACCGGAGUGGACGCAUCACUGGUGUUCGGGUUGUCAUGCCAAUGGCACUGCCCGGUAGCUAAAUGCGGAAGAGAUAAGUGCUGAAAGCAUCUAAGCACGAAACUUGCCCCGAGAUGAGUUCUCCCUGAGACUGUAAGUCUCCUGAAGGAACGUUGAAGACGACGACGUUGAUAGGCCGGGUGUGUAAGCGCAGCGAUGCGUUGAGCUAACCGGUACUAAUGAACCGUGAGGCUUAACCUUACAACGCCAAAGAAGU